AGAGAUGAUGAAUAUGCACUGGGCUUUGAGUAGUUGAAUAUAUUGUUUAUAUAAAGCACAAUGCAGUCUAGAAAACUAUAUCUAAUGA